UAGGGAAUCUUCCACAAUGGACGCAAGUCUGAUGGAGCAACGCCGCGUGAGUGAAGAAGGUUUUCGGAUCGUAAAGCUCUGUUGUUGGUGAAGAAGGAUAGAGGUAGUAACUGGCCUUUAUUUGACGGUAAUCAACCAGAAAGUCACGGCUAACUACGUGCCAGCAGCCGCAGUAAUACGUAGGUGGCAAGCGUUGUCCGGAUUUAUUGGGCGUAAAGCGAGCGCAGGCGGAAGAAUAAGUCUGAUGUGAAAGCCCUCGGCUUAACCGAGGAACUGCAUCGGAAACUGUUUUUCUUGAGUGAAGAAGAGGAGAGUGGAAUUCCAUGUGUAGCGGUGGAAUGCGUAGAUAUAUGGAAGAACACCAGUGGCGAAGGCGACUCUCUGGUCUGCAACUGACGCUGAGGCUCGAAAGCAUGGGUAGCGAACAGG
rnacentral:rRNA from 1 species